AUUGAACGCUGGCGGCAUGCUUUACACAUGCAAGUCGAACGGCAGCGGGGGCUUCGGCCCGCCGGCGAGUGGCGAACGGGUGAGUAAUGCAUCGGAACGUGCCCAGUCAUGGGGGAUAACUACGCGAAAGCGUAGCUAAUACCGCAUACGCCCUGAGGGGGAAAGUGGGGGAUCGCAAGACCUCACGUGAUUGGAGCGGCCGAUGUCAGAUUAGCUAGUUGGUGAGGUAAAGGCUCACCAAGGCGACGAUCUGUAGCGGGUCUGAGAGGAUGAUCCGCCAGACUGGGACUGAGCCACGGCCCAGACUCCUACGGGAGGCAGCAGUGGGGAAUUUUGGACAAUGGGCGAAAGCCUGAUCCAGCCAUGCCGCGUGAGUGAAGAAGGCCUUCGGGUUGUAAAGCUCUUUCGGACGGAAAGAAAUCGCACGGGCUAAUAUCCCGUGUGGAUGACGGUACCGUAAGAAGAAGCACCGGCUAACUACGUGCCAGCCGCCGCGGUAAAAC
rnacentral:rRNA from 1 species